UUUUGUUUUGAAUGUGGUUUUAUUUUGAUACUUAGUCACUUGAAAAUUGUUAAGUGUAGAGACUUUAAAAGGAAUUUUUUUGUUUUGAAUACGUUUUUCUGGUGACUUAGUUACUUGAAAAUGGUUAAGUGUAGGGUCUUUAAAGGGGAUUUUUUAUUUUGAAUGUGGUUUGGUUGGUGACUUAGUCACUUCAAAAUGGGUAAGUGUUGGGACUUUAAAGAGGAUUUUUUUUGUUUUGAAUGUGGUUUGAUUGGUGACUUAGUCACUUGAAAAUGGUUAAGUGUAAGGACUUUUAAGGGGAUUUUUUGUUUUGAAUGUGGUUUGAUUGGUGACUUAGUUACUUGAAAAUGGUUAAGUGUAGGGACUUUAAAGGGGAUUUUUUUAUUUUGAAUGUGGUUUUGUUUUGAUACUUAGUCACUUGAAAAUGGUUAAGUGUAGUGACUUUAAAGAGGAUUUUUUUUUGUUUUGAAUGCAUUUUGUUUGGUGACUUAGUUACUUGAAAAUGGUUAAGUGUAGGGUCUUUAAAGGGAAUUUUUUAUUUUGACUGUGGUUUGGUUGGUGACUUAGUAACUUAAAAAUGGGUAAGUGUAGGGACUUUAAAGAGCAUUUUUUUUUUAAUGUGGUUUGGUUGGUGACUUUGUAACUUGAAAAUGGUUAAGCGUAAGGACUUUAAAGGGGAUUUUUUGUUUUGAAUGUGGUUUGGUUAUUGACUUAGUCACUUAAAAAUGAUUAAGUGUACGCACUUUUAAGGGGAUUUUUUUUAAUGUGGUUUGGUUGGAGACUUAGUUACUUGAAAAUGGUUAAGUGUAGAGAAUUUAAAGGAGAUUUUUU
rnacentral:lncRNA from 1 species